GAUGAACGCUGGCGGCGUGCCUAACACAUGCAAGUCGAGCGAAGCGCUUAAAUUAGAUUUCUUCGGAAUGACGAUUUUUGUGACUGAGCGGCGGACGGGUGAGUAACGCGUGGGUAACCUGCCUCAUACAGGGGGAUAACAGUUAGAAAUGACUGCUAAUACCGCAUAAGACCCCAGCUCCGCAUGAAGCGGUGGUAAAAACUCCGGUGGUAUGAGAUGGACCCGCGUCUGAUUAGCUAGUUGGUAAGGUAACGGCUUACCAAGGCGACGAUCAGUAGCCGACCUGAGAGGGUGACCGGCCACAUUGGGACUGAGACACGGCCCAGACUCCUACGGGAGGCAGCAGUGGGGAAUAUUGCACAAUGGGGGAAACCCUGAUGCAGCGACGCCGCGUGAAGGAUGAAGUAUUUCGGUAUGUAAACUUCUAUCAGCAGGGAAGAAAGUGACGGUACCUGACUAAGAAGCCCCGGCUAACUACGUG
rnacentral:rRNA from 1 species